rnacentral:lncRNA from 1 species
UGCAGGGGUCUAUGGACAACAACUCCAAGGCAGAAAGCUACGUGAAGAGCCUGCAGAUGGAAGGGAGAUACUUGAGAGAUGUUUGGUGACGUAUGCCAAAGAAACGUGGACCCUGUCCGUCGUAGUUGCCGGCGAAUACAAACCUAAAUCAACGUCGUGGAGGAAAAUUAGAUGCACCGGCUGGGGUAUGAUUAGUAGGAAUUUUUACAUGAUCUGUUCGAUGGGAAACAUAUAUACUAGUGAUAUGGUUCUAUUUUUUUAAAAAAAUAAAGAAGA